UACGGGGGGAGCAAGCGUUGUUCGGAUUUACUGGGCGUAAAGGGCGCGUAGGCGGCCUGCUAAGUCGAACGUGAAAUCCCCGGGCUCAACCCGGGAACUGCGUCCGAUACUGGUUGGCUUGAAUCCGGGAGAGGGAUGCGGAAUUCCAGGUGUAGCGGUGAAAUGCGUAGAUAUCUGGAGGAACACCGGUGGCGAAGGCGGCAUCCUGGACCGGCAUUGACGCUGAGGCGCGAAAGCCAGGGGAGCAAACGGG
rnacentral:rRNA from 1 species